UCGGUGCUUGCACCGACACAUGAUCGAGUGGCGAACGGGUGAGUAACACGUGAGGAACCUGCCCCGAAGCUCGGGACAACCACGGGAAACCGUGGCUAAUACCGAAUGACCUCCUUUGGCCGCAUGGUCAGUUGAGGAAAGUUCAGGCGCUUCGGGAGGGUCUCACGGCCUAUCAGCUAGUUGGUGAGGUAACGGCUCACCAAGGCAACGACGGGUAGCUGGUCUGAGAGGACGAUCAGCCACACUGGGACUGAGACACGGCCCAGACUCCUACGGGAGGCAGCAGUGGGGAAUCUUGCGCAAUGGGCGAAAGCCUGACGCAGCCACGCCGCGUGAGGGAAGACGGCCCUAGGGUUGUAAACCUCUUUCAGCAGGGACGAAAAUGACGGUACCUGCAGAAGAAGCCCCGGCCAACUACGUGCCAGCAGCCGCGGUAACACGUAGGGGGCAAGCGUUGUCCGGAAUUAUUGGGCGUAAAGAGCUCGUAGGCGGUUUGGUAAGUCGGAUGUGAAAACUCAGGGCUCAACCCGGAGACGCCAUCCGAUACUGCCAUGACUAGAGUCCGGUAGAGGAGCGUGGAAUUCCCGGUGUAGCGGUGAAAUGCGCAGAUAUCGGGAGGAACACCAGCGGCGAAGGCGGCGCUCUGGGCCGGAACUGACGCUGAGGAGCG
rnacentral:rRNA from 1 species